GGAAAUUCGGGCUUGCUGGCGCAUUUUAGGGUUCCAGCACAGUGGCGCCGGCGUCUCUCCGAUGGUUGAGCUCUCCUCUGGCCGCCCCUCUUCUUCUUCUUCUCCGGUCAGGGUGUCGGCUAGGGUUUUGAGAAAUCGGUCAAUAGAGGUUUAAAUACCUCUCAUUCUUCAAUCAUGGUCGUUCGUGCAGGUCCACAUGGAGCAACGAAGACCGUCUGAUCGC
rnacentral:lncRNA from 1 species